UGUCAUGCUUGGCCAGGUCAGUUGGAGU
rnacentral:piRNA from 1 species